rnacentral:rRNA from 1 species
UGCGUAGGUGGUUUAAUAAGUCAGUGGUGAAAGCCCAUCGCUCAACGAUGGAACUGCCAUUGAUACUGUAAGACUUGAAUUUUUGUGAAGUAACUAGAAUAUGUAGUGUAGCGGUGAAAUGCUUAGAUAUUACAUGGAAUACCAAUUGCGAAGGCAGGUUACUAACAAACGAUUGACGCUGAUGGACGAAAGCGUGGGGAGCAAACAGGAUUAGAUACCCGCGUA